rnacentral:tmRNA from 1 species
GGGGGCGCGUGGUUUCGACAGGGGAGGUAUGCUACAGGAUUGCAAGCUGAGGUGCCACUAAUCUCAUGAAACAAGUGGCAAAAAACAACUGGCGAAGAACCAGUAUUAGUUGCUGCCUAACAAAUAGGUAGCACAUCCAACUUGAUCUUGCCUCAACGGGUUGGGAUUGGGUGCCGUUCAGUUGAGGUGCCGCUGUCCGGAUGUCGAUAAGGGCGGUGAAAGAAAAAUCGACUGGCCCGGCUAAACUCGGUCAGCAGAGGCUAGCCCGGUAAGAUUAAAAAGCUGACUACGCUUGUAGUAUAUUCUGGGUAGCCUUUCUUGGACGGGGAGUUCGACUCUCCCCCGCCUCCACCA